rnacentral:lncRNA from 1 species
AGGGCACUCUCGCCGACCGCACGUUAUCACCUGCGGGUCCACUCGGGGCGACUACCGUCAACCUGCCUCCACCGUCACCCGCCACCCUCGCCACAAGUGUGAACAUGCGUACAUUCCUCAUUUGGCCACUACUCACCUUUGAGGACUUGCUGGGUUAAUUCUCUGCUGCCACACUAUGAAGCACAUAAUGUCAAGCACUGACCUAGGAACACCAGUGAACCUGACUUACAGACUUCCUAAGGGCUCCUG